rnacentral:ncRNA from 1 species
UGAUUGGCUAGCGGGUAGGGAUGUGGAGAGUUUAGGGCUUAGUGAAUGCAAGAGAUUGGUGAAAGAGUGUGUUUUGUCUGACUGGCAAGUCAGAUGGGACACUAGCGUGAAUGGGCGUGUCACUCAUCGGUUUAUACGGGAGGUUACAUUUGCCGGCAGCCGACCAGACUUUGGGUUCGGCCUGAGUCUUGGAUUCCUGUUGACUGGUCACGGUUCCCUCAAUGCAUUCUUGCAUUCGAGGAACCUUUAUGACAGUCCAGAAUGCCGUUGUGGCUCGGCUGCUGAGACAUGGGAGCAUGUUCUCUGUGAGUGCACAAGGUAUGCAGAUUUUCGAGAUCUGAGGGGGAUGGGUAUAAGUGAGGUUAGUGGCGGGUUUGACGUAAGUCAAUCACUCUCCACUAGUGAUAGGGUUAGAAGAAUGAGUGAGUUUGCUAGAGCUGCAUUUUCCAGGCGACGUUUGCAAUUGCAGGAAGGAAUUGUAUGAAUGAUGAUGGAUGGUAGAUGUGAGAAUGUGGGGGUACGAAUGUGGGGGUGUUUCUGAAUGGUAAUUUUUUGUUGAACAUUGUGUUGUGAUGGGGCUACCAACCCUUAACUGUUUUGGAGUUUAAAUUGGAAGUGCCCUUCUGGUACGAGGCCUGACCGGAGGCUUUUAAUCUGGUACCACGGGUAACCAGGAGCCCACGGAACUUGUUCCGUCCUGGUUAGUUGGUGCGGCCCUUCGGGGAGUAUCGUGGUGGUUGUGGUUUAACACCCAAAUGCGGGUAGAGCAUCGCUCGACGUGGAGUUGCGUCAUACAACCGGGUUCCGUGACCCAGAUUACGGAAGAGGCUUAGAUAGUCCUCGUGCCAAACCAAGGUAGAAGUCACAACCAAACAGUCGUGUCUUUAAUUGGUACCUGCGGAAUUGUUCCAAGGGGGCGGUGAUUGACGCUUGAAUUAAUCCUAUACUAGGAACCGUGAGAUUAAGCCAUCGCGGCAGGUGCUCACGUUAAGCCCACUGACUUUCAUGUCCCUAUCUACUAUCUAGCGAAACCACAGCCAAGGGAACGGGCUUGGAAUAAUUAGCGGGGAAAGAAGACCCUUUUGAGCUUGACUCUAAUCUGGCAGUGUAAGGAGACAUAAGAGGUGUAGAAUAAGUGGGAGAUAUUAGACUUCGGUUUGGUAUCGACAAUGAAAUACCACUACUCUUAUUGUUUCCUUACUUACUUGAUUAAAUGGAACGUGUAUCAUUUCCUAGCCAUUAUACGGAUAUAAUUAUUAUGUCUUAUGGUAUUGGGUUUUGAUGCAAGCUUCUUGAUCAAAGUAUCACGAGUUUGUUAUAUAAUCGCAAACAAAUUCUUUAAUGAGAGAAUGCAUUUAUGUAUUAUUGAUUUAA